AUUGAGUGAAACCCCUACUCUAGCCAAAACCUUUUAGUUGUAGGAAAAAAUGUCCAUGAAGAUAAAAAUGUGGAAAAUAUAGCCUUUUUAGUGUUGAAAUGACUAAGUUAUCCUUACUAAUAUAUUUUGAUUAAUUAAUAUUUUACAAUUUUCGAAAAUAUAUCAAAAUAUUAAAAAGAGAAAUAGUAAAAACAAAACCUAGAUUUUGGGUGAAAUCAUAUUUGGGUAAAAAAAAAAUAGAGUUACCAUCUUCUUCCCCAAGUCACCUUCAUAUCCAACGACCUUUUCCGGCGACCUCAUUCCGGCGGUUUCGCAAGGCGGUCUCCACGGCCUUCUUACUCCUCUUCAUCUCGUUUCCGAGGAGAGCGGCGCGGUCUGAGGCGGUGAAGUCAGCGGCGCGGGUGAAGUCAGCGGCGUCUGAAAAUCUAUAUGGGCUUCCGAUGCGGGUGAAAGCAGCGGUGCGGUCUGAGGCGGUGACGGCGGCGCCUAGGUCAGAGAAGGUGGCGGCAGCGGCGCGGUGGGGCGGAGGCGUGAAGACAACGGCAAAAUUCUAGGGUUUGACUUGGCUGGAUCUAUGUUCGGGGGGGCUUCCGGCGCGGGUGAAGGCAGCGGCGCAUUCGGUCUGAGACGGUGAUGGCGGCGGCCCGGUGGCGGAGGUGUGAAAAUGGCGGCUGAAUUCUAGGGAUUGAGUUUUUUGAAAUUUAGAUGUAGUAAAUUUUGUGUAGUAAUUUUAUUUGAAGUAAUUUUAUGUAAAGUAUUUUUGUAUUUUAAUUCAAAUAUAUUAAAUAAAACUUUUCAGUUUUUCUAAA